rnacentral:rRNA from 1 species
GAUGAACGCUGGCGGCGUGCUUAACACAUGCAAGUCGAACGGUGAAGGAGAGCUUGCUCUCUGGAUCAGUGGCGAACGGGUGAGUAACACGUGAGCAAUCUGCCCCUGACUCUGGGAUAAGCGCUGGAAACGGCGUCUAAUACCGGAUACGAGCUGCGAAGGCAUCUUCAGCAGCUGGAAAGAAUUUCGGUCAGGGAUGAGCUCGCGGCCUAUCAGCUUGUUGGUGAGGUAAUGGCUCACCAAGGCGUCGACGGGUAGCUGGCCUGAGAGGGUGACCGGCCACACUGGGACUGGGACACGGCCCAGACUCCUACGGGAGGCAGCAGUGGGGAAUAUUGCACAAUGGGCGAAAGCCUGAUGCAGCAACGCCGCGUGAGGGACGACGGCCUUCGGGUUGUAAACCUCUUUUAGCAGGGAAGAAGCGAAAGUGACGGUACCUGCAGAAAAAGCACCGGCUAACUACGUGCCAGCAGCCGCCGCAG